rnacentral:misc_RNA from 1 species
GAUGAAGAACGCAGCGAAAUGCGAUAAGUAGUGUGAAUUGCAGAAUUCAGUGAAUCAUCGAAUCUUUGAACGCACAUUGCGCCCUUUGGUAUUCCAAAGGGCAUGCCUGUUCGAGCGUCAUUUGUACCCUCAAGCUUUGCUUGGUGUUGGGCGUCUUGUCUCUAGCUUUGCUGGGGACUCGCCUUAAAGUAAUUGGCAGCCGGCCUACUGGUUUCGGAGCGCAGCACAAGUCGCACUCUCUAUCAGCAAAGGUCUAGCAUCCAUUAAGCCUUUUUUUCAACUUUUGACCUCGGAUCAGGUAGGGAUACCCGCUGAACUUAAGCAUAUCAAUAAGCGGAGGA